AGCCAUGAGUGUAGUGCCAUCAUA
rnacentral:siRNA from 1 species